rnacentral:rRNA from 1 species
UACGUAGGGUGCAAGCGUUGUCCGGAAUUAUUGGGCGUAAAGAGCUCGUAGGCGGUCUGUCGCGUCGGCUGUGAAAACCCGGGGCUCAACCCCGGGCCUGCAGUCGAUACGGGCAGACUAGAGUGCGGUAGGGGGAGACUGGAAUUCCUGGUGUAGCGGUGAAAUGCGCAGAUAUCAGGAGGAACACCGGUGGCGAAGGCGGGUCUCUGGGCCGUAACUGACGCUGAGGAGCGAAAGCGUGGGGAGCAAACAGG